rnacentral:rRNA from 1 species
UACGAACUGUGCGAACGUUAUUCGGAAUCACUGGGCUUACAGGGUGCGUAGGCGGCUUUUCAAGUCAGGUGUGAAAGCCCCCGGCUCAACCGGGGAAUUGCGCUUGAAACUGGAGAGCUCGAGUCAGCUAGAGGUGCACGGAACUUCCAGUGGAGCGGUGAAAUGUGUUGAUAUCAUCAGGAACACCGGUGGCGAAGGCGCUUCUGGGUCUUACCUGACGCUGAGGAACGAAAGCAUGGGGAGCGAACAGG